rnacentral:rRNA from 1 species
UACAGGGGGGGCAAGCGUUGUUCGGAAUUACUGGGCGUAAAGGGCGCGUAGGCGGCAUGACAAGUGGGAGGUGAAAUCCCUCGGCUUAACCGGGGAACUGCCUUCCAAACUGUUUUGCUUGAGUCCGGGAGAGGUCAGUGGAAUUCCCAGUGUAGCGGUGAAAUGCGUAGAUAUUGGGAGGAACACCAGUGGCGAAGGCGACUGACUGGACCGGUACUGACGCUGAGGCGCGAAAGCGUGGGGAGCAAACGGG